UUUUUUAUCAUUAAUUUUAAAUUUUAUCUCUUUUUUUUUUUUUUUUAUAUGUAAAUUAAUGUAAAGAGACUUGGUUAACCUUCCCCACACUUAAACUAAAUAACACAAACUCACAGAAAUCAACCAAAUAACACAACUAACUAAACAAAACAAAAUGAAAGCAAUAAAGAUAAGGGUGGAAGAAUGCAAAGCUGAUUGGGUUAGUGAUUCCAAAGUCUCCCUUCGUUGAAUGCUUGGGUUGCCUCCCAAGAAGCGCUUGAUUUAACGUCUUUAGCCGGACGCAUCUUUCCUUUAAAUUUCCCUCGGCUCCAUUUGAACCUAAAAUCAAAGAAAGAAAAAUAAAUCAAAAAUCAAAAGUAAAAUACACAAACACCAAUAUAAACAUAAACAAAAACAAAAAUAAAAGGAUUAGCAAAGUUGCUAAUCCCCGGCAACGGCGCCAAAAUUUGAUGCGAGAAUUUCUUGACACACAAAUUAAACCCUCUUUUUGACAAUUGUAGUAUAGAUGUAAGUAGGGUAUCG
rnacentral:lncRNA from 1 species